GAUAGAGCAAGACGACGGCCCGGACCCGGUCGUCCCCAUAGCCUACAAGGAGCUGUUCACAUAGACCAUGAACUACUUCCGAGCCGUCUUCAGAGCCGACGAGCGAUCGCCUCGCGCCCUUCAGCUCACCACCGAAGCCAUCGAAUUAAAUUCAGGAAACUACACUAUGUGGCAUUACAGGCGCUUAAUACUGGAGACUCUUAAAGCUGAUUUACAGAAUGAACUGGAUUUCACCGAUCAUAUAGCGCAGAUUAACUCCAAAAAUUAUCAGUUGUCGUGAGUUACAAGUCCUUGUAUAGAUUUUAUUGGAACUUCAUAUUGAUUGGCUUGAAUUUUUUCA